rnacentral:rRNA from 1 species
AAUCCGGUAUUCCUGGGGGACCACCUGUGGGAAGGGCGUCUCACUAGAACGGCUCCGACAGUGAGGGACGAAAGCUGGGGAGCAAACCGGAUUAGAUACCCGGUUAGUCCCAUCUGUAAACGAUGGCGCGUUAGGUGUAUCGGUGACCACGAGUCACCGAGGUGCCGAAGGGAAACCGUGAAACGUGCCGCCUGGGAAGUACGGUCGCAAGGCUGAAACUUAAAGGAAUUGGCGGGGGGAGCACCACAACAGGUGGAGCCUGCGGUUUAAUCGGACUCAACGCCGGGAAGCUCACCGGAUAAGACAGCUGAAUGAUAGCCGGGUUGAAGACUCUGCUUGACUAGCUGAGAGGAGGUGCAUGGCCGUCGUCAGUUCGUACUGUGAAGCAUCCUGUUAAGUCAGGCAACGAGCGAGACCCACGCCAACAGUUGCCAGCAUGUCCUCCGGGAUGGUGGGGACACUGUUGGAGACCGCCUCUGCUAAAGAGGAGGAAGGAAUGGGCAACGGUAGGUCAGCAUGCCCCGAAUUAUCCGGGCUACACGCGGGCUACAAUGGUCAGGACAAUGGGUAUCGACACCGAAAGGUGAAGGCAAUCUCUUAAACCUGUCCUUAGUUCGGAUUGUGGGCUGCAACUCGCCCACAUGAAGCUGGAAUCUGUAGUAAUCGCGUCUCAAAAUGGCGCGGUGAAUAUGUCCCUGCUCCUUGCACACAUCUCG